UCUCUGGUGGUCCAGUGGCUAAGACUGCACGCUCCUAAUGUGCAGGGCCCAGGUUCAAUCCCUGGUCAGGGAA
rnacentral:tRNA from 2 species